GGGAAGCCAGAAUUACUUGCAGGAGUAACCUAGUGCCUAUAGCUAUGGCAGUGACCCUGAGGUGAUGGAGUUUUCAAGUCCUUCCAGAGAGGAAUGUCCCAAGCCUUCGGGUAGGGUGCCUUCAGCCGCUACAAGAGCAGAAGCAGUGGGCAUUGGAUGGAGCUGAGUACAGGACCAUACAGGCUAAUUGCACCGGCACAGUGAAAUAAGAUUUCGCCGCCUAUCAUCUGCUAACUGCUACGGACUCAGGCUCAGAAAGGCCUGCGCUUCACCCAGGAAUCGGAUAUAACAUCAUCUGGGUACCCAUGGCCAGCUGUGACUUCUCCAUCCGCACCUACACCUAUGCAGACACCCCUGAUGAUUUCCAGUUGCACAACUUCAGCCUCCCAGAGGAAGAUACCAAGCUCAAGAUACCCCUGAUUCACCGAGCCCUGCAGUUGGCCCAGCGUCCCGUUUCACUCCUUGCCAGCCCCUGGACAUCACCCACUCGGCUCAAGACCAGGGGAGCGGGGAAUGGGAAGGGGCCACUCAAGGGACAGCCCAGAGACAUCUACCACCAGACCUGGGCCAGAUACAUUGUGAAGUUCCUGGAUGCCUAUGCUGAGCACAAGUUACAGUUCUGGGCAGUGACAGCUGAAAAUGAGCCUUCUGCUGGGCUGUUGAGUGGAUACCCCUUCCAGUGCCUGGGCUUCACCCCUGAACAUCAGCGAGACUUCAUUGCCCGUGACCUAGGUCCUACCCUUGCCAACGGUACUCACCACAAUGUCCGCCUACUCAUGCUGGAUGACCAACGCUUGCUGCUGCCCCACUGGGCAAAGGUGGUACUGACAGACCCAGAAGCAGCUAAGUAUGUUCAUGGUAUUGCUGUACAUUGGUACCUGGACUUUCUGGCUCCAGCCAAAGCCACCCUAAGGGAGACACACCACCUGUUCCCCAACACCAUGCUCUUUGCCUCAGAGGCCUGUGUGGGUUCCAAGUUCUGGGAGCAGAGUGUGCGGCUAGGCUCCUGGGAUCGAGGGAUGCAGUACAGCCACAGCAUCAUCACAAACCUCCUGUACCAUGUGGUCGGCUGGACCGACUGGAACCCAUCAUUGUAGACAUCACCAAGCACACGUUUUACAAACAGCCCAUGUUCUACCACCUUGGCCACUUCAGCAAGUUCAUUCCUGAGGGCUCCCAGAGAGUGGGGCUGGUUGCCAGUCAGAAGAACGACCCGGACGCAGUGGCACUGAUGCAUCCCGAUGGCUCUGCUGUUGUGGUCGUGCUAAACCGCUCCUCUAAGGAUGUGCCUCUUACCAUCAAGGAUCCUGCUGUGGGCUUCCUGGAGACAAUCUCACCUGGCUACUCCAUUCACACCUACCUGUGGCGUCGCCAGUGAUGGAGCAGAUACUCAAGGAGGCACUGGGCUCAGCCUGGGCAUUAAAGGGACAGAGUCAGCUCACACGCUGUCUGUGACUAAAGAGGGCACAGCAGGGCCAGUGUGAGCUUACAGCGACGUAAGCCCAGGGGCAAUGGUUUGGGUGACUCACUUUCCCCUCUAGGUGGUGCCAGGGGCUGGAGGCCCCUAGAAAAAGAUCAGUAAGCCCCAGUGUCCCCCCAGCCCCCAUGCUUAUGUGAACAUGCGCUGUGUGCUGCUUGCUUUGGAAACUGGGCCUGGGUCCAGGCCUAGGGUGAGCUCACUGUCCGUACAAACACAAGAUCAGGGCUGAGGGUAAGGAAAAGAAGAGACUAGGAAAGCUGGGCCCAAAACUGGAGACUGUUUGUCUUUCCUGGAGAUGCAGAACUGGGCCCGUGGAGCAGCAGUGUCAGCAUCAGGGCGGAAGCCUUAAAGCAGCAGCGGGUGUGCCCAGGCACCCAGAUGAUUCCUAUGGCACCAGCCAGGAAAAAUGGCAGCUCUUAAAGGAGAAAAUGUUUGAGCCC
ensembl:lncRNA GBA1LP glucosylceramidase beta 1 like, pseudogene